rnacentral:lncRNA from 1 species
AUGUUGGCUAUGUUUGUCAAGGGGCACUUUAGGAAUUUCCUUUCUUCAGGUGUCAGCUAAUGUGGUUGAAACAGAGAGAGGAUGCCAGCUGUUGUUGUUAAAAUAAAUGGAGAGAAGGAGAUAACACAGAAGAUAGAGAUAGAGAAGAUAGAGUAGAGUAGAGUGAAAGGAAGCCGGAAGAGGAGUCGGCCAUGUACUCCUGGUUUUGGUGAUGAACAAUUGAACAGUAAUAGCGGUGGUCUGCAGGACGGCUAAUGAUGUUGCGGUGGUUGUAGCCGGCGUGGGUGGAUUUCUUUAUGUACCACCCUCAUUUGUUGAUUUUUUACGAACCAUAGACUUUAUUUCAGCUGUUGGUUGCUUCCUAAAAUACAACUUCCUAUGCAUUAGGUACUAUCUUUGCGGAAGAGAAUAGUGGUAAUGAUGAAAGACAUUACCGGUGAACCAAAACAACCGCUGUAAAUUGCUUAGAAAGCUACUACGAAGACAGGUGUUGAUUUGUAGAGGGAGAGAGAGAGAAAGUGACGAUUGUGUGGGUUUUAUCUUUAUGUACUUUUUUUAAGAAAUAAAGUACCAAACAAUUUUGAGUUUUUGAUUUCUGGUUUUUGAUCUUCAGAUACGAAGUUGAUGAUGGUGAUUUUUAAUUUGCAGAAAGUAUCAAAAGUGUAGGUGGUGAGUAGUAAUGGUGUUUUUCAUAUGAAGAUAGCAGAGGAUGAUGAUGCUGCCACAAAGCAUUAAAGGUCUCAAAAUCUUGGAAAAAUCAUUGUAUUAAAUGUAUUUAAAUAAUUCUACGGUUU